CAGCUGAUUGUUUUAAAUCUAGUAUAUAUUUUAUCAUUAGUCUGUACAAAUCAAUAUACAUAAUGCAAUGGGGCCAUGUGCGUUGUCAAUAUCUUAUUCGCCUAGUCAAUUGGAAACUUUUGAAUGGGUUUUGUAGCAUUCAUAAUAUAUAAGGAGCAUAUCAACUUUAGUCUCUCCAGUUAGCGAUGGCGGUACGGUUGGAUUACCUUGAUGACAUUUAAAAUCUCUUGAGGUAUGAUUUUACGUUGGGUUUCUUCGUCUCCAGAGAUGAUCGCUUGUCGUGCUCUCGUACUGCUGACACCAAAACCGACAUUCCCUUUUAAUUUAGUAAGUUUAAUUUUUUCCGACCAUUGACUUGGAAUGUUUGGCAAAAGAGAUUUCUUGAUUUUCUCAAGAUAUUGCGCUUGGUCAUCCGUGGUAGUACCAUCUACUUCUCUUGAAAAGCAAAGAAUUUGAGAACAGGAAAAAAAAGGUUGUAAUACUUGUUGCAUUGCCUUUUCUUUAUAGUACUUGCAAUCUAAUAUCCUUAUUAAGGUGUCAAAACCUACUAAGUAUACUUGUUCUCGAGGCCCCAAUUUAUUUGAUAUACUACGACACUUGUCGACGAAUAAUGCGUGCUUGCAAAUAGCGACGGAAACAGUGCAAUUAUGGAUUAGUGUUUUUAAUUUUUCCAUCAUCAAAAUUCGCUCAUUGAAAGCCGCAGGUGCAACAGGCUUGUCAGCAUUUGUAAUACUUAACAAUAACAAAAGUUGACUACCUUUAGGAAUUGAUAAGCACAUGCCCAGAUGGGCAAAAUGGGGAGGAUUGAAAGAGCUGUCAAGCACUAAAUAAGAUAACAACUUUGUUAGCUUUGAAUAUCGGGAUCCGCACUCAAUUCAUCCUAACUUACCAUAUAUCGGUUUAUCACUAACUUCAAGUCUUUCGAGCAGUAAAAUAUCUUCCGUUGAUGAUCGAAAACUGUCUAACAAAUUGGCAUAUUUUUUAGCUUGAUCCAUAUUUCUACCUAUAGUAAUAAGCAGAAGUUUCUGGGUUUAUACCCGAAAAGUUGGCUCGCCAAUGUUACUGAUCGUAUGUAUAUGCUACAGUACCAGGAUUGCUUGAUUGACCUUUUAAUCCAAUAAUAACACUUAUUAUGUUUAAUAUAUUUCUAAAUACAUAAGGAAAUUAAAUUCACAACAAAUUUAUUUG